rnacentral:tRNA from 1 species
GCCUGGGUGGCUCAGAUGGUUAAGCAUCUGCCUUCGGCUCAGGUCAUGAUCUCCAGGUUGUGGGAUCGAGUCCCACAUCAGGCU